ensembl:lncRNA
UGUUACCAAGUUUUAAAACAUCCUCACAACCGCUUGCUAGCACUGCUCCAGCAGUACGGGCUAUAGGAGCUCCCGGCUGGGAGGGGAUGUUGAUGUUCAGUAUGUUGAUCUGUUUAACCAAAGAUCAAAGCCAUACUUUUUGACCUUUCAGAUGGCUGGAUGAGCCAAGGUUGCUGCUGAAUUUUCACUGUGAUGUUAAAAAUGCUGGAGCUGUAUCAAUGGCAUUUCAGCAGUUUCCACUGGAAGGGAAACAAGCAACAGAAGGCAACCCGCUGUAGAGCAGUUCAGUUGGUGGAGACUCACCCUGUGUGGUUCAACUGGGUGUUUCUUCAGAGGACACCUUCCAUCAGAUGGCUCCUUUCACAAUGCUCCUGGUACAAAUACAUAGGUGUACAGCACGCACGCGUUUGAAAGUGGAACAAAAAGAUUGGCCUGAGGCUAACUCAGGACCCAGUCUGGUGAGGUGACAGGUGCCCUCAGUGUCCGUAAGGACCCAGCUCCUCCUCCUGUUCCAGUUAGAGGCAAAACUCUUGUUGAAGUCAUUGAAGUUGAGGGUGUGCUACACCUGGCAGGAUUAGGCCCCGAAGCAAUUAACUUGAGCUACCUCAUCUGAUCAUUUCACAAGGUUCUCCAGUUCUUAGUAAGAAGAACAGGAGUACUUGUGGCACCUUAGAGACUAAUUUGUUAGUCUCCAAGGUGCCACAAGUACUCCUUUUUGCGGAUACAUACACGGCUGCUACUCUGAAACCAGUUCUUAGUGUCCUUCCCAGAGGCUUAGCACUGUGCUGCACUUCAUGAACUGCUACCCGGUCAGCUGCCCAGAGUCCCCCCCAGCUGUACUGCAAGUGUCUUAAGCAGCGGCUACCCAUGACACUGGGCCAAAUUCUGACUUGCUUUCCACACCCUUGCAACACUGUGACAUCAGUGCAUAAGAGGAAAGUUAGAAUUUGGCCCACUGACUCCAUCAAGAUGUAGCUAACGUGCCACAUUGCUUUAAAAAAAUGAAGUUAGUUUAAACAAAUCUGAUUAAGUUUUGGGUACGAUAAUACACAUUUAAAGCCAAAGCCUGCACAAGGCAUAGGAACCUCUGUGUCUCCCAGUCCACUGUGUGACAGCAGGGGAGGCCCGAGGAGCACUACUGUAGGAGUGGUGCCUACACCACAGCACCAAGAGAUUGUGGUCUUACAGGUAGUGCUGUGUGGUCAGUGGAUGUGCUGGGACCAAGGGUGAGGAUGGUCUGUGGUAAGAAGAGGUACACACUGUCCUCAGCCCACUACCUCAUCUUGCUCGGCAUCCUCGGGGGGCUCUGGAAAACAUCAUGUGACUGGCACACUUCUGUGCCUUCCCCUAUCGCUCUGAGUAGGUAAGUGUUAGAUUUUGCCCUUGCUGCUGUCAGGUGUUGUGUGCAGGGGUCAUUCCAGGAAGCACAAGUUAGGAGAGCUUUCAGGAAGUUUGCUGAGGAUGGUGAAAGGUGAGCGCUUUUGCAAGUCUUCCAAGACACAGUAUGACACCACCAGUGGAUACAGGAUUAUGUUUUAAUCCAUGGGCGUUUGUGGUCUGAAACUCCUGCUAGGCCUUAUUCUUUCAUGCAUCAGUUUCACAUUGGUAUAAACCCAUUGACUUAAAUGGAUUCUCUCCUAAUUUUCACCAGUGUAAAUGAGAGCUAAAUCAGGUUUCUCUCGCCAGACUCUGAUGGGUAUUUAGGCCAAAUCCUCUGCUGUUGGAGUCAAUGGGGAUUUUGCAGCUGACCUCAGAGACACUGCAGGAUAUGGCAAUCGGUCUUACCCACUAAUAAUAAGGGUUCCCCCCUUCCCCUCCAUCUGCCUUAGACUUGGUUCUUUUUUAUUCAUUCAGACAUUUAGGCCUGUCCUCUGGAUAUGACUUCACAGCAUCAGCGAUUACACCGCUGACAUGGAUGACAUUUCCAAACAUGUAAUAAAGAGCCCAAAGUUCCUAUGUGACA